AGAGUUUGAUCCUGGCUCAGAACGAACGCUGGCGGUAUGCUUAACACAUGCAAGUCGAACGCGAAAGUCCCUUCGGGGACCGGUAGAGUGGCGCACGGGUGAGUAACGCGUAGAUAACCUGCCCCCAUGUCCGGGACAACUUUUCGAAAGGAAGGCUAAUACCGGAUAAUACCUGGAGCCUAGUGGCUCUCGGUUGAAAGAUUUUUCGCUUGGGGAUGGGUCUGCGUAGCAUUAGCUAGUUGGUAGGGUAAAGGCCUACCAAGGCUACGAUGCUUAGCGGGUCUGAGAGGAUGAUCCGCCACACUGGAACUGAGACACGGUCCAGACUCCUACGGGAGGCAGCAGUGGGGAAUUUUGCGCAAUGGACGAAAGUCUGACGCAGCAAUACCGCGUGAGUGAAGAAGGCCCUUGGGUCGUAAAGUCUUUGUUUAGGGGAAGAUAAUGACGGUACCCUAAGAAUAAGCACCGGCUAACUCCGUGCCAGCAGCCGCGGUAAUACGGAGGGUGCAAGCGUUGUUCGGAUUUACUGGGCGUAAAGGGCGCGUAGGCGGCCAGAUAAGUUAAGGGUGAAAUCCCGGGGCUCAACCCCGGAACUGCUCUUAAAACUGUUUGGCUAGAGACAAAUAGAGGUGGGUGGAAUUCCAGGUGUAGAGGUGAAAUUCGUAGAUAUCUGGAGGAACACCGGUGGCGAAGGCGGCCCACUGGAUUUGUUCUGACGCUAAGGCGCGAAAGCAUGGGGAGCAAACGGGAUUAGAUACCCCGGUAGUCCAUGCCGUAAACGAUGAAUACCAGCUGUUUGACCCAUCGACCGGUCAAGUGGCGCAGCUAACGCGAUGAGUAUUCCGCCUGGGAAGUACGGUCGCAAGACUAAAACUCAAAGGAAUUGACGGGGGCCCGCACAAGCGGUGGAGCAUGUGGUUUAAUUCGACGCAACGCGAAGAACCUUACCUGGGUUUGACAUCCCCGGACCACCCUGGAGACAGGGUUUUCUCUUCGGAGACCGGGUGACAGGUGCUGCAUGGCUGUCGUCAGCUCGUGUCGUGAGAUGUUGGGUUAAGUCCCGCAACGAGCGCAACCCUUGUCCUUAGUUGCCAGCACGUAAUGGUGGGAACUCAGGGAGACUGCCUGUGUCAAGCAGGAGGAAGGUGGGGAUGACGUCAAGUCCUCAUGGCCUUUAUAUCCUGGGCUACACACGUGCUACAAUGGCAAUUACAAAGAGCAGCGAGACCGCGAGGUGGAGCGAAUCUCAAAAAAAUUGUCUCAGUUCGGAUCGCAGUCUGCAACUCGACUGCGUGAAGUUGGAAUCGCUAGUAAUCGUAGAUCAGAACGCUACGGUGAAUACGUUCCCGGGUCUUGUACACACCGCCCGUCACACCAUGGGAGUUGACAUUGGCAGAAAACACUGAGCUAACCUUCGGGAGGCAGGUGUUCAAGCUGGUGGCGAUGACUGGGGUGAGUCGUAACAAGGUAACC
rnacentral:rRNA from 1 species